AAAAGGAUGGAGACAGUGAAUUGCAGUGACCUGCUGAUUAGUACUUAGUACUCUUAGGUGACGGGUGGACAGGUGACCUUUUAGAAUAUUAUUUUUUUACCUGGGAAUGUACACCAUCUGUCCCUGCCUGUCUUUCUUGUUCAAGACUCCAUCCCUUUUUUGGUUGAGAUAGACAGAAGCAAGGGAGGAGAGGAGUAGGUAUAACGAGCACAAAAGAGGGUCUCACCCAUCGCUUAGGCAUUGUUGACUUUGGCAGAGAAAGCAGCACAUCCUUCCAUCUGAUCCAGAAAACUGACAGAGACACUAGUGCGAUGGUUGGCUGUGGUCCCUGGGUGGCAGUGUUGAGCCUGUUCUGCCUGCUCUCAGCAGGCCGACUUGAGGAAGUGGAUGCGGGUGGUUUGUGUACCCAGUACUCAGAGGGCAACUUUAUGGAAAUGACGGAUUUCUUUAUCAUGACCGAGAAGGAGAGCGCCUUUCACCUUGUGGUAAGUAUGUGCGUGUCCAGUUUAUCCAGGCUAAAACAUAACCUCUUAACGACAGCUACUUGCACAUAGCCUGGUGCCUGUAGUUCAGCU